GAUUUUAUUCUGAACGAAUCACUUGUUCCCCACAGUAAUGUUACAACAAAUAGCAUAUAUUCAGCAUUGACAUUGAAUCUUUCAUCCAUAAAUUAUAGAGCUAAGCAAGUGGUUCCACUUGAUGAAGAGGACUCACCAAGAAACUCUGAUCUCAACUGCAUAAGCAGCCUGCCCAGAUAAUUUAGGCCUUCACCUUCCCGGCCUCCACCCCAAAAAAGAUCAUGUGGGGAAGCUUCAACAAGAACAGAGCCAGCAGUUGAGAGCAGCAUAGAAUUCAAAUGAGGAUAAAUAGAGAACUUGCGUUUUAAUGCCUUGUACAUGACAUCAAUCUUGACAUUAUCCCAGUCAGAUCUCACCUGCACAUCACAUGGACUAUCAGCUUCCAACAAAUUGCCAGGAGUAUAAGGGAUUCAAAGUGAGCAAUUGACGUUCCCAAGAGGCCAAGAUCCAUAUCCUCCAAUAAGAUACCAGUUGAUCGUUAGCAAGGACCAAUAUAGUCAAUCUAAAUUCUACUCAGUACAUAAUUACUAUUAAGGAAGAGAGACGUGCAAAAUCACAUGAAAAUGAAAACACAAUAUCGAUUAUGUAAGAACUUAAGGCACUUACUUUUCUGUAUUAUUAACAUUAUAACCCUAGAUUUCAUUAACAUACUAUGAGCCAAGGUAUUUGAAAUUUUCACAAAAGUAGCCAAUCAUUAUAAAAAUGACAGAUUCUAUUCAUGUGAAAAAAUUAAUGCCAUGCACUGAUGCAUUGCACUUUGACCAUCCUAACAACAAUGAAUUGAUGCCUAAAAUUCAUAAGUUGGCGAGUGCCAAUACUCCCUACCAUACCAAUCAUUUACCAUGGACUUCUGUAUCCUAAGCUAGGCUACCAUCUGCCAGUACAACUCCAUUUUUACCUAUGUUGUGCUUCAUUGCUGAUAAGUAGGCAUUUUCUUCAUGUACAGGGAAAGUGCUUGAGUUGUGCUACUUUCAAGCCUUUUUGGGUUUUAAAUUAGGAAAGCUAUUAUAUUAAUGGAAACUGAAGCAUAGAAUGCUAACAUCAUAGAAUGAACAUUAUGCCCUUAUUCUUGGAUAAGUAAAGAGUCCAAUCUGAAUCUCUAUCAAAAAGUAGAAGAACACACCAGAUUGGGGCACUGCCUCUGCAUUGACCUUCCCAUUCGUGCUGCUUCCUCUGGACUUUUUGCUGACUUUAUCUUCUCAAUGCAAUCUUUUGCUACAGGAUCAUUCACCCCCAAAAACUUGUGUGCCUAAAAUUCAGAAAAUUGUGAUAGAAUUCUACAAUAUGCGUGAGAAAACAAAUAUUAUGCUUAAAAGGCAAGUACCUGGUAAUAAUGCUCUACACUUGACCAUGUGGCAUAAUCACCAUUGCUAUCAAACAUUUGAAUUGGAUGAGGAGAAAAAUUUGAAAAAGCCCCAUAAGGAUCCCAAGUCUUAUAGAAGAAUAUGAUGCUUGAUUCAUAAGGAGUGACAGUAGAAUCAAUUGCAAAAGGCUUAUCCUCCAAUGGGAUAACUGGAGUCAGUUCCGGGAUAGGCUGAAGAAAUCCACAAUUAGAAUAUCUGGUCCAACCUGUUCAUAGCAAACAUCAAUUAAAUCCAAGGCUAGUGACAUUUCAACCAUCCCUAGUUCACCCACAGGAGUUGGUGCACUCUAUUCACCAAUAAUCUUUGGAGCGACAAAUGCAAAAACCUGCAACAGAGAAGUUAUGGCAAAGAGUAGCAUUAACUGAAGUGAAACCUAUUUGCAAGUUAUGAGCAUAAGAUGAACACAUGUCCAGCAUGAGUUACAAACUUCAAUUUUUUUUAAUGAAAUGUCAAGUAAAUCUGACUUUGAAUUUUCUUUAUAUCUGCAUGAGAAUGAAGACAUCACUCCAUUAAACUUUUCCAGUUAACAAGUAAAUAUCCUGAAAGGAAGUCACCUACAUCUCAUAUCACAUAUUCCCAAAACAGUUAAAAAUUAAAAGUAGAAAACUAAAGAAUAAAUCUUGUGUAAAACACCAGCUGAAAUAGCAGAGGCAGCAAGUGUCCCUCCACACUCCCACAAAACGGAUAAAUAUCCAAAAUCGUGAAAAUAUUCCAUGACUUCUCUAGGAAUUAAGACAUCAAACUCCACCACUUCAACUCCUUUGGAUGCAAGUAGUUUCGAGAAACUCCUCCUCUCACCUCCUUGUGUUGCAACUAUGGUAGAAACAUCAGACACAUCUCAAAGAUUUGCUUCCUCAGGAAGAUCAAGCGUCUGUGACAUUACAAUCCGCAUAGGCAUAUGCCCACCGCAAUGUCUAGCAGUCAAUUGAGGGUCUUACUCAAAAUAAAUAACUAAAUAAAAUUCGCAGCAAAAAUCAUAACAGAACAAGACAUUAUCACAUCAUGAAAACAAUUAAAGUGUCAAUAAUGUAUCAUACUUAAUGUCUCUUCGAGCAGUAUUUCCUCCAACAAUAAUGGCAUCACUUCUGCCCCGCAGUUCGAAAAAUCAAUUCCUUGGAUUCCAGCUGCCAUGUCAGUUAUAAUUUACUUCAAAGGAAGAGAAAAUGAGAAGCUUAUGAGGAAAUCUCAACAAGAACAGAGACAGCAGCGUGGUCUCUCCGGGCUCCAUAUUCAAAUAAGCAGUAGCGCCUUUGCUCCAACCAGCAGCAGCCUCCACCGAUUGAACCUCAGCAGGCUUAGUCCCCUGCGCUCAUAGAUAACCCUGCCCGGCGAUAUUUCCAGUUAAAGUUGCAACGAAGCAACCGAAAUUCGGGUCAGGGGAGGUGUAGCCGGCAGACUUGUUGGCUAACUCGGCAGCGAGUCGGAUAAAGGCGGCGUCAUUGGAGUGGAAGUGAUUGGAAAUAAAGCAGCAGAUAAUAGGUUAGGAGCGGAAGCAGUUGAGAUAAGACCAUUUGUGCGAUUAAUUUAAGCUCAAUUGAUCAUUCUACAUCCUAUCUAUCCACGAAUUGCCUUCUGUAAGUCUGGUUUGCUAGAAGUUGCAACCAUUAUUUGGACUUGGAAGUUCAUGGAAAGACAGCGUCAACGACGGCCUCAGAAGAAGAUAAUAUGGGUCGUCAGAGAAAACAGGCCAAUUACAGAAGUUUCUUCCGAGAAAAUGGGCUCUGGCUCUGGUUUUGGUUUGAC
rnacentral:misc_RNA from 1 species